rnacentral:lncRNA from 1 species
AAUCUUCUCUACUUGAGAAACUGAAAACAGGUGUGCUUGAAUGGGGAAACAGAGAGCAUAUAGAAGGCAUCAAAAGUUUAGCUUCUUGUGGAGGGUUUGAAGUUAUCAUUGGGACAGAUGUUACCUAUGUAGCUGAAGCCAUUAUACCUUUGUUUGAAACUGCAAAAGAGUUGAUGUUGCGGAAAGUGGGAGAGGUUCAGGAGGAGAAGCCAGCGUUGAUUCUGUGCCAUGUUUUCAGAAGGGUUGAUGAGCCUUCUCUCUUGUCAGCUGCGUCUAAGUUUGGGUUCAAGCUUGUGGACAGAUGGGCUAUGAAUUCGAAGGAAUCUCCUGUUGGGAACAUCGUUGACCGUUGGUUUUACGAAAAUGAUUUGGUCGCGGAGAUCCCUAGUUCGGCUUUGCAUAUUCUCUACUUUCAGAUGGAGUAGCCUUGGAGAUUUGAUAAGCCAAGUUCUUAUGAUUUUUCUCCUGGAAUCUCGAUCAAUUGAGUUUUUCUAUAUAAUUUUCAUUAGUGAGUGGAUUGCGUUGGCUGAUCUUGUUUUGUUAUCUUGCAAGAAUCUGGCCUCUUUUAAGAAGGUGCCAGUAGAAUUACAGGGAAUAUAUUGCACUGAAUUUUCGAAGAUUUUUGUUUUUGACAUAUAAUUUCCAUUUUCCAAAAAUCAACCAUGAAGUUACAUGGGAUUGUAUCCAGUGCAUUGUUCUAAAAUUCGGUCAAUGCGGGAGUAUAAAAGCUGUAGAUACGCUGAACGGGCAGUCAUUGUACCGUUUCUACCUAUACGGUUUGAUCGUAAACCGGUUGAGUCGACUAUAGUUUUCUUUAAUUAUGACAUGCACAUAUUGUCUAAUCCGUAGUUAAAUAUAAAAGUCAAGUUAAAGAUAACGGCAACGUUUGAAUGCUUCCUUUAGCGCAUUUGUUAAACUUAAUUUUAUGCAGAAAAUAUAUGAGACACAUCACAUCCUUAUUAAUUCUAAGACAAAAUCAGCCAAAUAAAAAUUAAAAAUUUGCUUAAUUUGGUAUAUAUACAAUAGCUUUUACCUUUAUAUCAUAUAUAAUCAGCAUAUAUUAAAAUUUUCAAAAGAAAAUAUUCACCGUAUAUACCCCGCAUAAACUCUAAUAUACGAGGUAUACCCGGUGAAUACCCCGUUUAUACACUAUACGGUAGACUAGCGUAUAACGUAUUUUAGAACACUGAUCCAAUGUGCUCCAAUAGAAAGAGGCUCUAAGCAUAUACUUUAGCCUUGCCAAAUCAUUUGCAUGUGUAUUUGUGAUUAAGAAUGGUAUAACCAAAUUUGGUAGCGUUCUCUCUUGGCAUGAUGCAUAACCAUUGUAAGAUACAUGGGCAGGGGAUAAGUACUGUGAAUUACUCUAGUUGGUGAAGUAACAUAAAUGGUCGCGUGACCAUGUACUUGCUUUAAAUUCAGGAGAAAAGUGAUGUUUGUAAUUGAGUGCCAAAAAGUAGUGUACUUGUUUAAAAAUUCAGUAGCUGAACUUUAGAAUAUAAACUAAAUAUUUCGGGUCGGCUGGACCGGAUUCAAAUAUUCACUGGCUUUGUGGGAUGGGCAGAUGAAGAUUCCUCCGGGUUAUUCACCAAAACAGGAGGACACAUGUUCCAGAAAUGCUGCUUCAAAACUUAAACCCCUUUAUGAUCUCAAAUAAGCAUCGAGACAAUGGUUAUUGAAGUUCCGUACUCCCUACCUUAACUUGUUUGAGAUUUGUUCAAUUACAAUGUGUGACACUUGUUUUCUUGAAAACUAUUGAUAAUGUGUUUCUCUGUAUAUGUUGCGAUAUUGUAAUUGUUGACAACAGUGACAGCGGAUAACACAUAGAGAAGACUUACAAGAGUGGAAGAAGCCGACGUUUCAAAGUUCACACAAGACGAGAAAUUGCAUACAGAAUGUCAAUAUUGAUGUCUUACAAGCAAAUUCAUGACCCUUGAUUUGCCCUUUACAGACUUUUGAGGAAAGAUUUGUAACUCUGCCUUGAAUUCAAUUCAUACUAAGUCGACUUCAUCUUUUCCCGCAUCUUAUAUUGCAGUGUUGCAGGAGCACAAUCUAGUGGUGUUUCUCCUGGUGACAGGUAACAAGUUAUUCAGACAAAAACAAGAGCAAUUGUUCCCAUGUGGAAGAAAAGUUUUCACAAGAAAAAUGAAGACAAGUGUGUGUCACAUGAGAAGUACCUUGUGCAUUUUUGUAGUCAAGGCUGGCUCCAUGUUCCAUUAACAUCAACGCAAUAUCAGUUUGGUUGAACAGAACCGCCUGUGGAAAGCAAAGCAUUAUGUAAUUACCCACGCAAAUCGAUCACACAAGUGGCCAAGAGAGAGAGAGAUUACCAGAUGAAGCACUGACAUUCCCUGCUUGUCAUGGUAAUUUGCGUCCACGCCCUGAAAUUUUUAAUAGUUUUAGUCUCUCUGUAUUUGUGAGUUAUAUCACACAGUUGCUGAAUUGGACAAGGAGUAUUACCUCACUCAGAAGCUUUUUCACACCAGCAGUGUCACCAUUCUUAAUUGCUUCUCUUAAUCCCUUUUUCAAAACCAAAUAAGAUGAGAUUGAAAAUAUGAUUUAUCUCAUGAAAAUGAGAUGUAAAUAGUUACCUCCCCAGUGACUUCAUAGUCUUUUUGGGGCUUGUCUGGUCUGCGAAUUUCAACAGCUUUAAUUACUAGAAAGAUAUAGAAAAAUCAGUGUAACAGAAUGUUCUAAUCCUAGAAGCAACAAAGAAGACCGGAUGCAAGUUUUCUACACAACUAAUCACUCAUAAAAAUAUGAAAUGCAAGAGCAAACUCAGUUUCAUAUUUGAUUCAACUAAUCAAGUAAAAUCUAUAUGCAAAAAUGUACUUACAAGUAUCUAAAGCGCUUAUGGAGUAAUCUUUAUGUGAAAACCUUGUAAUGAAUACUAUAAGUAAAUUCUUCAAACAGACCUAGCAUUGGUGCUGGAAGUGGAACCUUUACUUUUAGCUGAAGUGUCAGACUUUGGUUUGGGAUCUGACUGAGGAAGAGCCAUAGGAGGAGCCCGUGUAGCCUGUUGUUCCAAAAGGGAGGAACAUAUUAUAGAUAAGAAGAGUAAGCAAGAAAACUCUCUCUCUCUCGCAUGAACUUAAAUCAAGAACAGAGAACAACACUCCAUAAGCCCAACUCAGUGCAUUGAAAUUUGUAUUACCUGUGGGUUAGAGGUUUUGGGUGGAGCAACAACACAGAUGCAAAGAGGCAUACCACACUUGCAUUCCACUGCUUCACUAUCUCCGGGGCCCAUCUCGAAAUUACUUGAGUUAUUAUUGCCUGUGUGAAUCAUAUUGCUCUCCCAAAAUCAAGAUUACAUACUUCAUUUUAAUCAAAACAAAUCUGAUAUCAAAAUGAAAUCACAAGAGUUAAACCAUUCCAAAGGAAAUCAAAGAAAAUACAAUCGGAGGAUUAGCGAACCUGAUGGUUGAGGGAAGUUGAGACAGACAGGGCACACGAAGCGAUCUAGAGAAGUCAAGAGAAGGAAAUAAAAGAACACAAACUACAUUUUCUUUCCCUUUAAUCUUUUUUGGUUAUUAUAUUUUCGGCCCCAUAUGUUUACAAUACUUACAAAAUAUCCUUACUACAUUUAUGCUUUCCUUGGGGUUCCAUUGGAAAAUAAAAGUAUGAAUACAUUUUUAGUUUUAUACCCAGCAGUUAUUGCGCUAAUGUAUAAAUUUUGGCACAUAGUAAAAUAGAUAAAUAAGAAAUUUCUCUCGUUUUCUUUGCUAGGCAAUUCUAGAUCUAACGAAUUAACUAACGACCUUAAUCAAAAAAUUUAUCAACAAACGGAUUCUAAAAAACGAGAUAUAGAGAGCUUUGCAAGAUUAGAGAGAGCUUGGGAAAAACAAAUAUACAUGAUCGGUGCAUAAAAGUUACUUUACCAAAAGUGUGGGCCACAAUGUGUGGCACCUAGUAGAAAAGGUUGAAGGUCAGCUCAACGAUGAUGGCACCGUCAACUUCUACUAUGAUACAAAACACAACCUCAACUUCUGCUUCAAUUUUUUUUUUUUAGUUCUAGAUUUUUAAUAAUCUUAUGUAUGUAUAUAUAUAUGGAUAUGCGGUCACAAAUAAUGGGCUUUAAUUAUGUAAGUAAAAGAGUAAAUAAAAAGAAGUAAAAAUAUGAUGUCAAGUGGUAUAUAACCCAGGUUAAGGGGUGUCAGGCAUAAGGAAAAUAGCCAUCAGAGCUGAUGAAUUUCUAAUGUUUAAUUCGUAACAAACUUAUUUCUUAUAUUGAAGGUGUGUUAGGUUCAUGGGUCUGCCUCUGUUCCAACAUGUACCCGCUUCCUAAUUUUUUUUAAAAUCUCGUUUCCGCUUCCGCGUAUCCGCUUCCGUUUUCAUGUAAAAUAGAUUUUAGUCACUUAAUAUUAGAUAAAGUUCAUGGAAAUGAAAAAUAUCAAAUUCAAAAAUAUAAAAUAAACAGUCUAUCAGUUAAACUUGCUUUGUGCUUGAGCCAAAAAAGAAACAUGAAUCUUCUUGAACCUGGACAUUUUUAGGAGAUAUGUAGUUUCCUGGAGUUGCUAAAAAAAUGUAGUUUCCUGGAAAUCUUUUUGGUGGCUUGAUAGAUGCUGAUAUCACCCAUGAACUAAAUAUGAAAAAUUGGAGUUUGAAUGCAAAAGAUUUCAAAUAAGAUAAUUAUGAAAAAUGUUGGUGCAUGAUAUGACGUUUUUAAUGUCUUGUAGAUGAUCUAAUAUUUCUCCUGGCUUUUGUCUUCGGAGUCUUGAUAACUUAUGGCUUUGUAAUGAACUAUGUACCCUUACUUCUAAAAAGAAGAAGAAAAAAAUCUGUUUAUUACAUUAAUUUUCUAUUCAAAAAUGAAAUAAUAAGUGGAUUUACUCCAAAAAUGAAAUAAUCAUAUUCCCUAUUCUAUUUGUACUUAUUAUUCGUAAACUAGAAUAGUAGCAAAACUCAGUUCCAUUUCAGAAAAUCAAUUUUGAAGUUGCACAUCAUAUUGUAGGUUUGGUAAGUUCACCAAAUGUUAUGGAGGUGCAACUCGACCAAAAGACAUAUCAGUGGUUUCAUAAAUGGAAAAAGUUGAAAAUAUAGGGGCAAAAAUACAAUAAACUGAAAAUCGAAAGAAAAAAAGAAAAGAGAAGAAAAGAAAAGUGUUUCCGUUUCUCGUUGUGCAUCUCUCCUCCUCCUUAUCGCUAUCGCAUCUUUUCUAACUCCGUCUCCCAUUCAGGUCCGAUUCAUCGCUAACUAUAUUUCCGUAAAAUUUACAGUUGUCAACUAUUGAGUAUUUUCUUUUGCUCUGUUUGAUUGGAUUCUCCAAAUUUGCAAUCCAAUUUACUAAAAUAAUUUUUGGUCUUGUGAAGAUACGGUGUGUGAUAUAAUGUCUUCUGCUACUGAAACCGUAGAAGAGCAGCAAAAGCUUCAGAUUUAUCCGACGUCUAAAGCUGGUGUUUCCCCCUUUUGGCGAGGUUCUUAAAGCGUAACUAUUUAGCUGAUUUUGCAAAUGGCAAUUGCUCCUUGUAUUUAAACUGUUUUCUUGUCUUUCAGACAAGUAUGAAAGAGAUGCUAAAAAGUAUUGGGAUAUAUUUUACAAGCAUCAUGGAGAUAGAGUAAGCCCCCUUUUUAUUUUUAUUUUUAUAGUUCAUUUCUAUCUCAAUUCACAUGUAACUGAACUAAAUAGCUAGAGAUUGUUUUGUACUAUAAGACUACAACAUUGGUUGAUUUUGGUGUCUGAAGAUUAAAAUGACCUUCCAAAUCUUUAAAGGUCUCAAGAUCUGAAAUUGGUGAUUAUUGAUAUGUUUGAGGGCAUUGCUUUGUUUGUAUGUUUUGAGCUAACGCGAGUGUGAGCUCACUGUGCAAGUGAUAUUACUGUCGUUUACUUGACAUUCUCUUGUUUUUUUUAUCAGUUUUUUAAAGACCGGCACUAUUUGGACAAGGAAUGGAACAGCUAUUUUUCUGUGAGUAGUAAAGCCAAUUCUUCUGGUAUCUGCUCCAUUACCUAUUCUAGUCCUGAGUUUGUAUUAUUCUCCUUUUUUUCUUCAGGCUAGUGGAGAAAAGGUCAUUCUUGAGGUAAUCACGAAUCCUCAAGCUAUUCCUAAUAUAAAUCCUAAAUGGCUAGAUAAAGAGCUUUUGUAGAAUAGUAUUCUGAGCAAUUCUGGUCUUGAUUUUGCAGGUUGGAUGUGGAGCGGGAAACACCAUCUUUCCGCUGAUUGCUACAUAUCCACACAUAUUUGUUUACGCUUGUGAUUUUUCACCACGCGCUGUUGACUUGGUCAAGGUCGGUCUUCAUUCCUCGUUUUAUGUUUUUGCUUUUCUUUCAUUGAUUUCUCUUUGCUAGUGAGGUCAAUGAUGUAAGCUUUUAAACGUAUUAAAUGGUGUACGGUUUGACGUAUGCUUCACAAUUUUUUUUGUUUACUGGCAUAUGUUGAAACUUGAUCAGAGAGUGUCAUGUAACUUCAGGCUCAUGAAGAAUACACAGAGACGCGCGUGUGUGCAUUUGCUUCCGACUUGACCGGGGAUGACCUUGACAAGCAUAUUUCUCCAUCUUCAGUUGACAUUGUGACCAUGGUAAUUUCAUAACAAAAAUAUAGUAUAUUACUGUGUUAUUUAUUUACUAGCUAGAAUUUUAUAUUCUUUAUAGAUAUCUUAAUUGAUUGACUAUCUUUUUUGUUUCUUAGAGCCUUUUCCUUUCUCAUCAUGAACUAUUUACAUCUCAUGUGUUGAGCAGAUAUUUGUUUUAUCUGCGGUAUCCCCAGAGAAGAUGCCCUUCGUAUUGCAGAACAUCAAGAGAGUACUUAAGGUAUCAAUCAAAUUUGUUCUAAUCCCCAGAGAAGAUGCCCUUCCUUUACCAUCUUGUUGUUCUUUUGUUUUUCAGCCAAAUGGGUGUAUACUCUUCCGUGACUAUGCUGUUGGUGAUCUUGCUCAGGUUUGAUCCCUUUUAGUUAUUUCCAUCGUUGUAUUAUUGAAAUUCAGCAAAAACACUGAUCAAUACAUCAUAAAUUGUAUAAACAUUGGAACGUUACGUUACAAGAGAAUUAUUAAAUUUGUAGUCUGGCUUUACCUUUUGAGAAGAACAAUCAGUUUUUUUAUGUGUUUUAGUGUAUGUUUUAACAGGAAAGGUUUUCUGGGAAGGAUCAGAAGAUUAGCGACAAUUUUUAUGUCAGAGGCGAUGGCACUGUAAGUUCUUUCCUUCCUUUUCUCUUUUAAAGUAUGCAUUUAUUUAUUUUUGGCAGAACUGUGACGAUUUUUUACCUCUCUACGCAGCGUGCAUUCUACUUCUCUAAUGAGUUCUUAGAAACUCUGUUUGGGAAGGAAGGUUUUGAAGUUGAAGAGAUUGGUGUUUGCUGCAAACAAGUUGAGAAUCGUUCGCGAGAACUGGUCAUGAAUCGUCGCUGGGUCCAAGCUACUUUCCGUCUAUCAAACGGCACUAAAAACCCAUCUGAGGAGCAAGAAAGAAAAGAGAUUGUUGAUAGUACCGACAUUGACAUAUCCGAUGGUCUUGCAAUGGAAAUGUUCGGAGCCUCCCCAUCUACUCAUGAUGUAAAGUAAUCUCAUUGGUUUCACAUAUUUUGUCCAAAACUUGUAAAGUUCUCAUCUCUCUUUUUUGUUCUAUGGAUAGAUGAGCGAGUUUAAGCUAAGGGACUCUGCUUUCAAAAUCAAACUUCUGUCCAAAGAGUAUCAACACACUUGCAAAUCCACGGGGUUGAUGCUAUGGGAGUCAGCUCGGUUCAUGGCCUCUGUUCUCGACAGGAACCCAAACAUUGUUUCAGGAAAACGGGUGUUGGAAUUGGGCUGUGGCUGCACAGGGAUUUGCUCCAUGGUAGCCGCCAGAUCAGCUGACCUCGUAGUAGCUACCGAUGCAGACACAAAGGCACUUGCACUACUAACGGAGAACAUCGCAACGAAUCUCGAAUCUUCUCUACUUGAGAAACUGAAAACAGGUGUGCUUGAAUGGGGAAACAGAGAGCAUAUAGAAGGCAUCAAAAGUUUAGCUUCUUGUGGAGGGUUUGAAGUUAUCAUUGGGACAGAUGUUACCUAUGUAGCUGAAGCCAUUAUACCUUUGUUUGAAACUGCAAAAGAGUUGAUGUUGCGGAAAGUGGGAGAGGUUCAGGAGGAGAAGCCAGCGUUGAUUCUGUGCCAUGUUUUCAGAAGGGUUGAUGAG